rnacentral:rRNA from 1 species
ACCCCGUGAUGGGAUGGAAACUGCCAAUCUAGAGUAUCGGAGAGGAAAGUGGAAUUCCUAGUGUAGCGGUGAAAUGCGUAGAUAUUAGGAAGAACACCAGUGGCGAAGGCGACUUUCUGGACGAAAACUGACGCUGAGGCGCGAAAGCCAGGGGAGCGAACGGGAUUAGAUACCCCGGUAGUCCUGGCCGUAAACGAUGGGUACUAGGUGUAGGAGGUAUCGACCCCUUCUGUGCCGGAGUUAACGCAAUAAGUACCCCGCCUGGGGAGUACGACCGCAAGGUUGAAACUCAAAGGAAUUGACGGGGGCCCGCACAAGCGGUGGAGUAUGUGGUUUAAUUCGACGCAACGCGAAGAACCUUACCAGGUCUUGACAUUGAUGGACAGAACCAGAGAUGGUUCCUCUUCUUCGGAAGCCAGAAAACAGGUGGUGCACGGUUGUCGUCAGCUCGUGUCGUGAGAUGUGGGGUUAAGUCCCGCAACGAGCGCAACCCCUAUCUUAUGUUGCCAGCACUUCGGGUGGGGACUCAUGAGAGACUGCCGCAGACAAUGCGGAGGAAGGCGGGGAUGACGUCAAAUCAUCAUGCCCCUUAUGACCUGGGCUACACACGUACUACAAUGGGAGUUAAUAGACGGAAGCGAGAUCGCGAGAUGGAGCAAACCCGAGAAACACUCUCUCAGUUCGGAUCGUAGGCUGCAACUCGC